rnacentral:rRNA from 1 species
CCUACGGGUGGCAGCAGUGGGGAAUAUUGGGCAAUGGGCGCAACUCUGACCCAGCAACGCCGCGUGAAUGAUGAAGGUCUUCGGGUUGUAAAGUUCUUUUCUAAGGGAAGAAGAAAGUGCCGGUCCCUUCGAAUUAAGCCUCGGUUACCGACGUGCCAGCCGCCGCGGUAAUACGUGGGAGGCGGGCGUUCUCAGGAAGGACUGGGCGUAAAGGGUGCGUGGAUGGUUUGGCAAGUUAGGAGCGUAACUUCAAGGCUUAACCUUAGAACUACGACUAAAACUGGUAGACGUGAGUGCAGGGGGGGUAGCCGGAAUUCGUAGUGGAGCGGUGGAAUGCGUAGAUAUUAGGAGGAACACCAGUGGCGAAGGCGGGCUGCUAGACUGUAACUGACACUGAGGCACGAAAGCGUGGGGAGCAAACAGGAUUAGAUACCCGAGUAGUC